GCCGCGGGGCGGCGGGCGGCCAAUCAGGGGGCGCGGCCGAGGCAGCCGGGCCCGGGUUUUAAACCAGCUCCUCCGGCGCGCGGCCUCGGAUGAUGUGGGGCGCGGACGCUGUGCGGCUGCCGGAGGGAACGCCGGGCGCCCCGUUAGAUGCGAAUGUCACACAGAAAGGAAUACUUAUUUUGGACAACUCCGGGAUCUGAAGAUAAAGGAAUGAGUAAAUUUGUCUGCAUCCAGCUAUAUCCCCAGAGAGGCAUUCUCCACAGCAACUUGCUUUUCUUAAAUGAAUGUGCUGCUAUGUCUUUACCUAGAAGGCUUUUUCUUCAGAGCUUCAGACGCUGGCAUCUUCUCAUUUGUGUUUCUGAUCAAAUGUCACCUCCAUGGAGAAGGCUUCUCUGACUCUCCCGUAAAAGCUGACAGCUGGAUAGCAAGAGCAGUUCCAGCUCUCACGUUCACACAGAAUGCCAUCCAGAGACCAUACACCGCAGUUGCUCUCUGUUUGAAAGUGCAGACUGUGAAAGAGGAUGGCUUUUACAGAUGGACUGGCAUGAUGUGGAAGAGUCAGAAGCACAUGCGGAAUAAGCAGGGCCUGGAAGACGGGAGUGACCACAAGAUCAAAUGUCACCUAGGAGUUUGCCGAAAUCCUCGAGAGGACCUUGGACAUUCAUAUACUCUGAAAUUGAGGAUUUGAACCAAUCUUGGACAUUCAUAUACUGUGAAAUUGAGGAUUUGAGCGAUCAUAAGGUACCAUCACCUCUAGGUGACAUCUAUAAUCCUUCAACAACUCUAACAGGUCGUCAUUAUUACCUAUAUUCAUGGAUAAAAAAAGCUAUUUCAAAGAAAUGGAGUUGCCUGUCUUAGUUCACAUAGAAUUAAGCUGAGUCAUGGAUUUCUUACUAUGCUGAGUAACUGAUUUUCAAAUAAAGGGAAUAAUCUAGAUAAGUUUCUUUAUAAAAACAUACAAUAGUAAUGUGUAAAAGUGGAACUUUAUGGUUUCUCAGAGGCCUUUGUAUAAUUCCUGAUCUCUAACGUUGAUGAUUUCUUGGGCUUACUGUGUUGUCCUGUAUGGGCAACUUAAUAGUUUGCAAGUUAGAGAUUUGUCUUUGCAGCACAGUUAUUUUGUUAAAUAGAAUAAUUAUAUUUGGUACUUAAUGGUUAACUUAAUAUUAUGAGCCCUUAAGUGACAUUUUUAAAGCUCAUACUCUUUAUUUUGCAACACCUUAAACCUGUUUCACAUCAAAUGUUUCUACAGAAAUUUCAGGUGAAGGGCAAAUUGAAUUUGAAUCUAUGGUUCUUCCAAGUUAAGCUUUUGCAUGUUAUGGCAGGUUCUUAAGGCACUUUGGUUCUCAUUUUAGAAGCGCCUCCAACGAUGCCUAAAUAAAAGCUAGGUUUGAAGCCUAAAAUACAUUCCCUUAGAACUUACAUGUAUGUCUGUCAAUGCAAGUAAGUGGAACUGUCACAGACAUACUAAAACCUAAGCAUAUGUAAAUCUCAACAUAGAAGGCAAAAUAUCGUUGAUCCAGUCCUGUUUGCGAUAUGGAAUAAUGGAUCUGUGAUAGAAUUGGUUGUCUAAUACUUCACCAGCCUGUGAGUACAUGACACCACACAAAAAAAAAUGGCUCGUAGAACCCAUGUACCUAUGCAGGACCAUGGCCUCUCUCGUUAUUUUGGGUUGUCCGCAGUCUGGCGGUGAGUUGCCUGUGCUCAGGAACAUAACCACUUACAAUCUUCUUUUAGCAGUUCUUGUCAAUACUGCUGGGCACUCCUUCUGCUGAUGGUGCUCUCUGUGGGAAUGCUGCAUAAAUGUUCUCUGCUAUGGCC
rnacentral:lncRNA from 1 species